ACAAUGGGCGCAAGCCUGAUCCAGCAAUGCCGCGUGCAGGAUGAAGGCCUUCGGGUUGUAAACUGCUUUUGUACGGAACGAAAAGCCCUGGGUUAAUACCCUGGGGUCAUGACGGUACCGUAAGAAUAAGCACCGGCUAACUACGUGCCAGCAGCCGCGGUAAUACGUAGGGUGCGAGCGUUAAUCGGAAUUACUGGGCGUAAAGCGUGCGCAGGCGGUUUUGUAAGACAGAGGUGAAAUCCCCGGGCUCAACCUGGGAACUGCCUUUGUGACUGCAAGGCUAGAGUACGGCAGAGGGGGAUGGAAUUCCGCGUGUAGCAGUGAAAUGCGUAGAUAUGCGGAGGAACACCGAUGGCGAAGGCAAUCCCCUGGGCCUGUACUGACGCUCAUGCACGAAAGCGUGGGGAGCAAACAGGAUUAGAUACCCUGGUAGUCCACGCCCUAAACGAUGUCAACUGGUUGUUGGGUCUUAACUGACUCAGUAACGAAGCUAACGCGUGAAGUUGACCGCCUGGG
rnacentral:rRNA from 1 species